UCCUUGAUGGUCUAGUGGUCAGGAUUCGGUGCUCUCACCGCAGCGGCCUGGGUUCGCUUCCCGGUCAGGGAA
rnacentral:tRNA from 1 species